GGGAGUGUAGCUCAACAGGUAGAGCAUCUGGCUUUUAACCAGCUGGUUGUGGGUUCGAGUCCCGCCCCUCUCA
rnacentral:tRNA from 1 species